rnacentral:rRNA from 1 species
AGUGAACGCUGGCGGUAGGCCUAACACAUGCAAGUCGAACGGCAGCACAGUAAGAGCUUGCUCUUACGGGUGGCGAGUGGCGGACGGGUGAGGAAUACAUCGGAAUCUACUUUUUCGUGGGGGAUAACGUAGGGAAACUUACGCUAAUACCGCAUACGACCUACGGGUGAAAGCAGGGGAUCUUCGGACCUUGCGCGAUUGAAUGAGCCGAUGUCGGAUUAGCUAGUUGGCGGGGUAAAGGCCCACCAAGGCGACGAUCCGUAGCUGGUCUGAGAGGAUGAUCAGCCACACUGGAACUGAGCCACGGUCCAUACUCCUACGGUAGGCACCAGUGGGGAAUAUUGGACAAUGGGCGCAAGCCUGAUCCAGCCAUACCGCGUGGGUGAAGAAGGCCUCCGGGUUGUAAAGCCCUUUUGUUGGGAAAGAAAAGCAGCAGGUUAAUACCCCGCUGUUCUGACGGUACCCAAAGAAUAAGCACCGGCUAACUUCGUG